GGGGCAACCAUAAUAGCUCAGUGGUAGAGCACCUGCCUUGCAAGCAGAAGUUUGCAGGUUCAUUUUCUGGUAUCUCCA